rnacentral:rRNA from 1 species
CCUACGGGAGGCUGCAGUGAGGAAUAUUGGUCAAUGGGCGCAAGCCUGAACCAGCCAAGUCGCGUGAGGGAUGACGGUCCUAUGGUUUGUAAACCUCUUUUGUCGGGGAGCAAGGCCCGCCACGUGUGGCGGGAAGGAGAGUACCCGAAGAAAAAGCAUCGGCUAACUCCGUGCCAGCAGCCGCGGUAAUACGGAGGAUGCGAGCGUUAUCCGGAUUUAUUGGGGUUAAGGGGUGCGUAGGCGGAAGGUUAAGUCAGCGGUAAAAUGUCGGUGCUCAACACCGGCCUGCCGUUGAAACUGGUCUUCUUGAGUGAGCGAGAAGUAUGCGGAAUGCGUGGUGUAGCGGUGAAAUGCAUAGAUAUCACGCAGAACUCCGAUUGCGAAGGCAGCAUACCGGCGCUCAACUGACGCUGAGGCACGAAAGCGUGGGGAUCGAACAGGAUUAGAUACCCCUGUAGUC